rnacentral:rRNA from 1 species
GACGAACGCUGGCGGCGUGCUUAACACAUGCAAGUCGAACGGAAAGGCCCUGCUUUUGUGGGGUGCUCGAGUGGCGAACGGGUGUGUAACACGUGAGUAACCUGCCCUUGACUUUGGGAUAACUUCAGGAAACUGGGGCUAAUACCGGAUAGGAGCUCCUGCUGCAUGGUGGGGGUUGGAAAGUUUCGGCGGUUGGGGAUGGACUCGCGGCGUAUCAGCUUGUUGGUGGGGUAGUGGCUUACCAAGGCUUUGACGGGUAGCCGGCCUGAGAGGGUGACCGGCCACAUUGGGACUGAGAUACGGCCCAGACUCCUACGGGAGGCAGCAGUGGGGAAUAUUGCACAAUGGGCGGAAGCCUGAUGCAGCAACGCCGCGUGCGGGAUGACGGCCUUCGGGUUGUAAACCGCUUUCGCCUGUGACGAAGCGUGAGUGACGGUAAUGGGUAAAGAAGCACCGGCUAACUACGUG